CCUACGGGAGGCAGCAGUGGGGAAUAUUGGACAAUGGGCGAAAGCCUGAUCCAGCAAUGCCGCGUGAGUGAUGAAGGCCUUCGGGUCGUAAAGCUCUUUUACCAGGGAUGAUAAUGACAGUACCUGGAGAAUAAGCUCCGGCUAACUCCGUGCCAGCAGCCGCGGUAAUACGGAGGGAGCUAGCGUUGUUCGGAAUUACUGGGCGUAAAGAGUACGUAGGCGGUUAUUCAAGUCAGAGGUGAAGGCCCGGGGCUCAACCCCGGAACUGCCUUUGAAACUAGAUAACUAGAGUCUUGGAGAGGUUAGUGGAAUUCCGAGUGUAGAGGUGAAAUUCGUAGAUAUUCGGAAGAACACCAGUGGCGAAGGCGACUAACUGGACAAGUACUGACGCUGAGGUACGAAAGCGUGGGGAGGCAAAACAGGAUUAGAUACCCUGGUAGUCCACGACCGUAAACGAUGAUAACUAAGUUGUUCGGUCACUUGGUGACUGAGUGACGCAGCUAACGCAUUAAGUUAUCCGCCUGGGGAGUACGGUCGUCAAAGAUUAAAAACUACAAAAGGAAUUAGACGG
rnacentral:rRNA from 1 species